UAUUCGUACGUUUUUCCUGUUACAGAAAUUCCUGUAAUUAAAAAAAAUUAAGCAUUUUCCUAUAAUUUAAAAAUGAUAUCAGAAAAUGCUAUUAUACCAUUAAAUCUUUCAUUAUAUCUUAAUUUAUUCUAUAUUUUUAACAAAACAGAAACUCGAGUUACCACAGAAAUUAAAACAUUUGGACAUUCAUUUGAAAGUUACAUACAGUCAUACAUUCAUGAUUACAGAUAAAUGUGAAAGGUGUCGCUGAAAGACAAUAAUUGUGACAGAGUAAAAUGAUGUACAGGAAUAAACGUUCCAGAAUUAUCUUUUGCAAGAAACAAGAUCAGCACAAACUGAAGAAAGAAAUUCUUUACAAUAAACCAGCUGUUGAUCAUUGAUAAAAGUGUGAAUUCUGCAAAUCUCCAAACAGUUAUGCGCCUUUGAACUCAAGCUCAGUAAGUUUCCUGCAAUUCAAGGUAUACAGUGCAAAACUUCUAUUUUUUCCUUCGAAUAAUUUUUUCAUCUAAAACAAAGGCAAGUACUGGAAAGAAUUUAGUGUUUUAAAAUUUCAUGGCAGCAUUAUUUUCAACGUCAUAAGAAUUCCCUAAUUAAAGAAAGCAUCUUCAAACAUCUCGUCUCGAGCUUUUAUGCAAAAUAUUCUAUGCUUUGAAGUGGACUGUAGAGGAAGAAGAUAGCCAAAUAUGCUUGCAGAAGUUUCGUCUUUGGUUGCAGCAACAUUUGAAGCACGUUUUUCGUCAUCUUUUUCUUCUAUCUGAACAAAGAAAACUAAAUUUCGCUAAAGCAAUUAUUCUUCUUGAAGCUGAGAAUAGUUCAACAUUUGCCUGUGUCUUGCAGUCUUUGAAGAUGGUUGUAUCCUGUUCCGGAUAUAAAUUGCUUUAGCUACAAGCAAGAACUUAUUUUCUUCACAAAAGCAAAGAGUAUGAAUAUUUGCAUUGUCCGAAGGAAGAAGUAAUCUUGCUGCAACCUUGUCUGCCGAACUGAGUUGUAACUGCGGACGACAUUUGCCUUAUUCCUUUAUCCAAAUGAUGCGUGGAGAAGCCACCCAUUGACAGAUGAUUUGAAGAUACAGCUGCCAGGACUUGGAAGAACUCAACUCAAAGAGCUGCAAGGGGCCACUUUUAGGGAAAAGCAAUCUGCAAUCUGAUCAUCUUUACCCCUCUCCAGAGCAAACAAAUCGAAGGGAGCAUAAUUUAGAUAAGGAAAGGUAAAAAGUCAAAAUAUAUAACAGAUAGCAAAACGAGAAAAAGAUUAAAAAGAAGAUUUAAUCAUGGUGUUAUUGGAAAACAGAAAGUUCCUGGAGAUAAUUUAAUAUUUAAUAUUUUAAAAUAUUCUAAUACAGGAAGUUAUAUUGAUUUCAAGAGUCAAGAGGAAUGUCAAAGACACGUGACUGAGAAAGGUGACUAAUCUGAUUUUUGCUGAUGAUUUAAAUGUAUAUAAUUUUCACAUGUGAACUCUUGUAUCCCUUAGCUAAUAAAUCAAGAUACUGUGAUUA